GAUUUUUCUAACUACUUAUUUAUAUCGUCGUUGUCAGCACCAUCAUUUAAUCACCACCUCACAGUUUCAAUCUUCUUAUUUGAUACUCCAUGCUUUCUGCAUCUUUGUGCCUUCAUCCACAACGUCCAACACAAUUAAAGCCUCGGCAACUUUAAGUUUCAAGCUACAUAUUCAGAAGAACACCACUGGAAUGACCCUUAACCUUAGCUAAUCAUCGCUACCGCCAAAACUCCCCAAAUUUAACCUAACGACGGCCACUAUCCACUACCCACCAUUCAAUCGUAUUUCAAAAUUUGAAUUCCGUGUUUUUGAAAUUCUAUCGAAACCCUAUAUAUCACACUCUCUCCAAAAGCGGUCUAACAUAUUUCUUUCGAUUUUGCAAAUUUCAUUCUACAUCUGUUUGAUUUCAGAAAGUUUAACCAGAUUGGCAUAGUUGCUAUUGAGUUCUCGAUCUUUGAGAGUGUUUAUGAAUCAAUAAAGGUAAGUUACCCUGAAUUGGCAAGGUUGGCUGAUGCAACACCUGUGAUUAUUCCUGCAAGCAUCUCUACAAAUUUUAUGUUCUAGAAUCGAAGCUUAAUUAGAAGUCAAGACUGCUAAUUAUUUGUUCUCCACAUCUGUUAACCAAGUUUAUGCAUCACGGAUAUAAGGGUGUACAUGUGUUCAUAUUUUGCUUAAAAGGGUGUGUAAACAUGGACCAUCAUUCAAGCGUUUGACUAUUCAAUGGGGGCGAUGAGUUGAUUAUAGAGUAAAAAUAGUUCUGGUUACCACAAACCUUUUCAUUUUUUAUCUAAGUAAAGUAUGUAACAUAUAACCUCUAACCGAUGUUAUAUGUUAUCUUAUUUUCAUUUUUAUAUACAUUUUAUUCUAUAAUUACUUGAAAAAUGAUUUCCAAAGCAUAUGUUGAGAUUUAUUAUAAUAGUGGGAAUGAGAAUUGUAUUACGGCUUUGAUUGAUUGUUGGAAAGAUGGAAAGAGCGACAAAGUUUUUUUCAAUGAAAUUAUCUUUUUUUUAAACAGAUUUGUGG